rnacentral:rRNA from 1 species
UACAGGGGGUGCAAACGUUGCUCGGAAUCAUUGGGCGUAAAGCGCACGUAGGCGGUUCGUUAUGUCGGAUGUGAAAGCCCUUGGCUUAACCGAGGAAGUGCAUCCGAAACUGGCGAGCUAGAGUACUAAAGAGGAUCGCGGAAUUCCCGGUGUAGAGGUGAAAUUCGUAGAUAUUGGGAAGAACACCGGUGGCGAAGGCGGCGACCUGGUCCGAUACUGACGCUGAGGCGCGAAAGCGUGGGGAGCAAACAGG